rnacentral:rRNA from 1 species
AUUGAACGCUGGCGGCAGGCCUAACACAUGCAAGUCGAGCGGAUGAAGGGAGCUUGCUCCUGGAUUCAGCGGCGGACGGGUGAGUAAUGCCUGGGAAUCUGCCUGGUAGUGGGGGAUAACGUCCGGAAACGGGCGCUAAUACCGCAUACGUCCUGAGGGAGAAAGUGGGGGAUCUUCGGACCUCACGCUAUCAGAUGAGCCUAGGUCGGAUUAGCUAGUUGGUGGGGUAAAGGCCUACCAAGGCGACGAUCCGUAACUGGUCUGAGAGGAUGAUCAGUCACACUGGAACUGAGACACGGUCCAGACUCCUACGGGAGGCAGCAGUGGGGAAUAUUGGACAAAGGGCGAAAGCCUGAUCCAGCCAUGCCGCGUGUGUGAAGAAGGUCUUCGGAUUGUAAAGCACUUUAAGUUGGGAGGAAGGGCAGUAAGUUAAUACCUUGCUGUUUUGACGUUACCAACAGAAUAAGCACCGGCUAACUUCGUG